rnacentral:rRNA from 1 species
AACGUAGGACGCAAGCGUUAUCCGGAGUUACUGGGCGUAAAGGGUGUGUAGGCGGUUCUUUAAGUUUGGUGUGAAAUCUCCCGGCUCAACUGGGAGGGUGCGCCGAAUACUGAGGGACUAGAGUACGGGAGAGGAAAGUGGAAUUCCUGGUGUAGCGGUGAAAUGCGUAGAUAUCAGGAGGAACACCGGUGGUGUAGACGGCUUUCUGGACCGUAACUGACGCUGAGACACGAAAGCGUGGGUAGCAAACAGG